CGAUGGAGGGGGAUAACUACUGGAAACGGUAGCUAAUACCGCAUAACGUCGCAAGACCAAAGAAGGGGGACCUUAGGGCCUCUUGCCAUCGGAUGUGCCCAGAUGGGAUUAGCUAGUAGGUGGGGUAACGGCUCACCUAGGCGACGAUCCCUAGCUGGUCUGAGAGGAUGACCAGCCACACUGGAACUGAGACACGGUCCAG
rnacentral:rRNA from 1 species